GAUGAACGCUGGCGGCGUGCCUAAUACAUGCAAGUCGAGCGAACGGACGAGAAGCUUGCUUCUCUGAUGUUAGCGGCGGACGGGUGAGUAACACGUGGAUAACCUACCUAUAAGACUGGGAUAACUUCGGGAAACCGGAGCUAAUACCGGAUAAUAUUUUGAACCGCAUGGUUCAAAAGUGAAAGACGGUCUUGCUGUCACUUAUAGAUGGAUCCGCGCUGCAUUAGCUAGUUGGUAAGGUAACGGCUUACCAAGGCAACGAUGCAUAGCCGACCUGAGAGGGUGAUCGGCCCGACUGGAACUGAGAACCGGUCCAGACUCCUACGGGAGGCAGCAGUAGGGAAUCUUCCGCACUGGGGGAAAGCCUGACGGAGCAACGCCGCAUGAGUGAUGAAGGUCUUCGGAUCGUAAAACUAUGUUAUUAGGGAAGAACAUAUGUGUCAGUAACUGUGCACCUCUUGACGGUACCUAAUCAGAAGGCCACGGCUAACUACAUG
rnacentral:rRNA from 1 species